rnacentral:misc_RNA from 1 species
UUUCCGUAGUUGAACCUGCGGAGGGAUCAUUACUGAGUGAGGGCUCACGCCCGACCUCCAACCCUUUGUGUACACACCUUGUUGCUUCGGGGGCGACCCUGCCGGCACUCUGUCGCCGGGCGCCCCCGAAGGUCUCCAAACACUGCAUCUUUGCGUCGGAGUUUAACACAAAUGAAACAAAACUUUCAACAACGGAUCUCUUGGUUCUGGCAUCGAUGAAGAACGCAGC